rnacentral:rRNA from 1 species
UACGUAGGGUCCGAGCGUUGUCCGGAAUUACUGGGCGUAAAGAGCUCGUAGGUGGUUUGUCGCGUUGUUCGUGAAAACUCACAGCUCAACUGUGGGCGUGCGGGCGAUACGGGCAGACUAGAGUACUGCAGGGGAGACUGGAAUUCCUGGUGUAGCGGUGGAAUGCGCAGAUAUCAGGAGGAACACCGGUGGCGAAGGCGGGUCUCUGGGCAGUAACUGACGCUGAGGAGCGAAAGCGUGGGGAGCAAACAGG